AGAGAGAACUUCUAUCAAAGCCUUAUAAAAAAGCAUGGUUUAGUGAAUUAUAAGCUGCUAACAAAUAGUUGAUGUUAAAACAAACAGCCAAAACAAAACCUGUCAAGAACAAUGAUUCUAUAUAGUUUCCCUCAUUAUAUAUGCAUACAUGUGUGUAUGUGUCUAUGUAGAAGUGCUUUCAAAAUAUUAUACUGUAGCUGGAAACUUUCAAUGGCCUGAGUUCUGGGACAAACCUUUUUCGCUUCAUCCCCUUCAU
rnacentral:misc_RNA from 1 species